rnacentral:tmRNA from 1 species
GGGGCUGAAAGGAUUUCUACAUAUUGAUAUUUUAUUUAUUUUUUAUUUAACAAAUCAAAUUUAUUAAUUUUUUAUAUCUUAAAGUUAGUUAUCUAUCUAACUAUAUUAAAAAUUAGUAAAAAAAAUGGUAAUUUAAUUGCAAAACAUAAUAUUAUAUCUUUUUCCAAAAAUUUAUUGUUAGUAUAAAUUGGUGAGAUUUUAAAUUUUAUUUUCUUUCUUUUAUUUAUUGGUUUAUUUAAAGAAUGCUCUAAUUGUAAAUUAUAAUUUUAGUUUCUAUUAUCAUUUUUUAUUUAAUUAGAAAAGUUGAAACUAUGUGAAUCCAAAAGUUUAUUGAUGAUGAUUUAGUUAAGUGCUUAUUAAUUAAGUAUUUUAUCAAUAUGGACGUGGGUUCAAAUCCCACCAGUUCCA